rnacentral:snRNA from 1 species
GCUUUUUUUGGCAGCACAUAUCCUAAAAUCAGAGUACAACAGAGAAGAUUAGUAUGGCCAUUUUAAAGGAAUAUAUGCCAGUUCAUGGAAUAUUUAAAAUAAAA